GCCGGGCGCGGUGGCGCGCGCCUGUAGUCCCAGCUACUCGGGAGGCUGAGACAGGAGGAUCGCUUGAGUCCAGGAGUUCUGGGCUGUAGUGCGCUAUGCCGAUCGGGUGUCCGCGCUAAGUUCGGCAUCAAUAUGGUGACCUCCCGGGAGCGGGGGACCACCAGGUUGCCUAAGGAGGGGUGAACCGGCCCAGGUCGGAAACGGAGCAGGUCAAAACUCCCGUGCUGAUCAGUAGUGGGAUCGCGCCUGUGAAUAGCCACUGCACUCCAGCCUGGGCAACAUAGCGAGACCCCGUCUCUU
rnacentral:SRP_RNA from 1 species